CCCGGCUACGCACAUCUUCUUAGGCUGCUGCUCCUGAAGAACACUUACUCCCUGCAGGGUCUUCAGAGCCUACUAAACCACCUUCUGACCUGCUGCAGGGUAGAGGGUGUAGGAAAGAAGAGGUGGUCCUUCUGCGGGUCGGGAAGCCACCAGGGUCUGGUGUGUGCAGUGUGAGGCAGCCGAGUGCGAGGUCGGAAGGUCUGCUCAGGCCUCCUCAUUCCCAGACUCCCACUGUGAUCUGUUCUUUCUUCCUGGAGUCAGACGCCACACACACCCCAAGGAUCCCAGAGCUUCUACCAUUGCUGCUGUCUCGUUGGAGCUCCAAACUUGCAGAGCCAGCUGUCUUUCAGCCACCUCUUCUCAGAUGUCACACCAAUAUCACAAAUUUGAAGCACUCAAACCUUCACUCUCAGUAUCCACACAUUCUCCCACCCCUAACAUGCGAUUUCUCUCCCACUCCCUAUCUGGCCAUCCAAAGCAUAAACCUCUCCCCCAGCACAGCAACCACUAGGUCAUGGUGACCUCAUGGGGAGUGUCCCCCAGGUUGUCCAUUUUCCUCCAUCCCCACCCUGGUCCGGGGCCCACCCAUUUAACUUGGGUCCCUGAACCCGCGUCUGAGUUCCCUCUCCCUGUACUGUUUUACUGCUUCCAAUCCUUUCUCCAUGACAGUCAGGGUGAUUGUGCUCAGUGGCACAUGUGAUCCUGCUGCAGCUCUCUCUGGGUCUCCUUUUGUUCUUUGCACAGAAUCCCAACCCUAAGGGGUCACCCAACCCUCUUCAUGCAUUGCCUCUGGCUCACCCUGCAACCUAAUGUCCUGUCCCAUAUCCCCCCAGCCCAGUGUCUGAGCAUGCUCACUUCAUCUGGUUCCUUGGGGUUCAGCCUCCCCCACACCUCUGGGUUUGUCUGGACAUCUGGACAUCUUGUCCCACAUUCCCCAUCCCGGGCCUCCCCAGCCCAGCAUAUGAGCGUGCUCAUUUCAUCCUAUUCCCUAGAGUUCAGCCUCCUCCACAGCUUUUGGUUUGUCUGGACGUCUGGACAGCUUGUCCCGCAUCCCCCACUCCCCAGCCCAGCAUCUGAACAUGCUGAUUUCAUCUUGUUUCUCGGGGUUUAGCCUUCCCCCACACCUCUGGGUUCGCCUGGCAGCAGCAGCUUUUCUCCUCCCCACACUUUCUCUCCACUAAGAGGUACAACAUCUUUUGGUUCCCAAGAUGGCUGCCCCUUCUUUCAUGAAGAUUUCUGGGAUCGCUGAAAUAUGGAACAGACGCACCAUGACACAGGCUUUCUCGGUAGCAGUGAUAAGCCCGCUGCCCUUGUUCUUAUGG
rnacentral:lncRNA from 1 species